GGACGGUUAGCUCAGUUGGUUAGAGCGUCUGCUUUACACGCAGAAGGUCGUAGGUUCGAGACCUACACCGUCCA
rnacentral:tRNA from 1 species